UGAGCAAUCUGCCCUUCACAUCGGAAUAACCAUUGGAAACGAUGGCUAAUACCGAAUACGACUUCGGACCGCAUGGUCUGAAGUGGAAAGCUCCGGCGGUGAAGGAUGAGCUCGCGGCCUAUCAGCUUGUUGGUGAGGUAAUAGCUCACCAAGGCGAUGACGGGUAGCCGGCUGAGAGGGUGACCGGCCACACUGGGACUGAGACACGGCCCAGACCUCUACGGGGAGG
rnacentral:rRNA from 1 species